UACGUAGGGUCCGAGCGUUGUCCGGAAUUAUUGGGCGUAAAGGGCUCGUAGGCGGUUCGUCACGUCGGGAGUGAAAACUCGGAGCUUAACUCCGAGCCUGCUUCCGAUACGGGCAGACUAGAGGUAGGCAGGGGAGAGCGGAACUCCUGGUGUAGCGGUGGAAUGCGCAGAUAUCAGGAGGAACACCGGUGGCGAAGGCGGGUCUCUGGGCAGUAACUGACGCUGAGGAGCGAAAGCGUGGGGAGCGAACAGG
rnacentral:rRNA from 1 species